GGCAGCAGCAGCAGCAGCAGUGGCGGCGGGGGGGGUCCUACAGCAUAAGCUCAUAAACAGCUCCAUGAUGACUGACCUAUGUUUUGAUUAGUGCCUGACGGAAGAUUAAGUGACCGGACUGAAUGUACGGCGGGUCCCAUCACCAGCUGGACACGUUGAGGGUGAGCAGCGAAAGCGGAGAGUUGUCGAGCUGGGCCGUGAUGUCGUCCAGACUGAAGUUAGAGGCCAGCGCCGUUCUCCCGUGGUGCCCGGCGGGAGCUCUGAUAGUGCCGGCAGGCGACGCCCUGGUGCUGCUGCUGCUACUGCUUGCCCCGCUGCUGCCCCCCCCGCCGCUGACACUGUUGCUACAGCUGCCGCCGCCGCCGCCGCCACCGCCGCCGCUCCCUGCUGGCUGCUGCCUGCUACUGCGCCCUGCUGGAGGUUUCUGACGGACCUGGAGACGCGGAGACAGAGUGCGUGUAGACGCAGUGACAACUAGCUGAAAAUGUGACUCUAAGAACAUGGAAAUGAGGACGUUUUUCCUAAUUUUUUGAUGUGUGGGCGUGUAUACCUUGGUGUCGGUCAGCCCCAGGCGAGCCAUGCCGCCAGCGCCGUGAGGCUUUGCGUUGACAGUGC